GUUUUUUGUUUGUUUUUCAGAUUUCUUAUUUUUGUGUUUGUUUUG
rnacentral:sRNA from 1 species